UUUGAGAGGUUGAAGCUGCCAGCAUGAUCUGGUACGAACAAAGUCCAUUUCUUUCUAUAUAUAAAUAUUUUCUUGCAAAGAAGAAAAGAAAAGAAAGUCCAUUUUUUCUUAAAAUUUUGAGGUCUUUUAAUUUCCUGUUUUGGGUUUGAAAUUGAAGUGAUAUUUUCGAAAAGAAAAUGGAAUUUUUCGAAGUUUUCUUGAAAGAAAAUAUAGGUAUCGUCUUUCAUAGGUUUGGUUCCAUCAGGUCAUCUAGCAGCUUCAAUCACUCACCAA
rnacentral:pre_miRNA from 1 species